UGGGCAGACAUGGCGUCCUCAUCUUCGUCAACAUCAUCAUCUUCCCUUGUUUCAAGUAAAGAUAGCAAUGAUGAUAUUCUUCAAUCAAUAAUAGUAAAAAGUAAAACUGACAAAAAAGAAAAAGGAAAAGCAAAGUUAAAACAAAAAAGCAAAGUGAAAAGAAAAGAAAAGAAAAAGAAGGACACUUCGUCCUCAUCUGAUUAAAAGGC
rnacentral:lncRNA from 1 species